rnacentral:rRNA from 1 species
GGGUGAGUAACGCGUGGAUAACCUGCCUUGUACAGGGGGAUAACACCUGGAAACAGGUGCUAAGACCGCAUAAGCGCACAGACCCGCAUGGGACAGUGUGAAAAACUCCGGUGGUACAAGAUGGAUCCGCGUCUGAUUAGCCAGUUGGCGGGGUAACGGCCCACCAAAGCGACGAUCAGUAGCCGGCCUGAGAGGGUGAACGGCCACAUUGGGACUGAGACACGGCCCAAACUCCUACGGGAGGCAGCAGUGGGGAAUAUUGCACAAUGGGGGAAACCCUGAUGCAGCAACGCCGCGUGAGUGAAGAAGUAAUUCGUUAUGUAAAGCUCUAUCAGCAGGGAAGAAAAUGACGGUACCUGAGUAAGCAGCCCCGGCUAACUACGUGCCAGCAGCCGCGGUAAUACGUAGGGGGCAAGCGUUAUCCGGAUUUACUGGGUGUAAAGGGAGCGUAGACGGUAAAGCAAGUCUGAAGUGAAAUGCCAGUGCUCAACACUGGAACUGCUUUGGAAACUGUUUGGCUGGAGUGCAGGAGAGGUAAGUGGAAUUCCUAGUGUAGCGGUGAAAUGCGUAGAUAUUAGGAGGAACACCAGUGGCGAAGGCGGCUUACUGGACUGUAACUGACGUUGAGGCUCGAAAGCGUGGGGAGCAAACAGGAUUAGAUACCCUGGUAGUCCACGCGGUAAACGAU